rnacentral:rRNA from 1 species
GGAUUAGAUACCCUGGUAGUCCACGCUGUAAACGAUGAUCACUCGAUGUACACGCUAGUCGUGUGUGUCUAAGCGAAAGCAUUAAGUGAUCCACCUGGGAAGUACGCUCGCAAGAGUGAGACUCAAAGGAAUUGACGGGAGUCCGCACAAGCGGUGGAGCAUGUGGUUUAAUUCGAUGAUACGCGAGGAACCUUACCUGGGCUCGAAUGUCUCUGCUACCUCGAGAAAUCGAGGGUUCCUUCGGGACAGAGUACAAGGUGCUGCAUGGCUGUCGUCAGCUCGUGCUG